rnacentral:rRNA from 1 species
UACGAAGGGGGCUAGCGUUGCUCGGAAUUACUGGGCGUAAAGGGCUCGUAGGCGGCCAACUAAGUCAGACGUGAAAUCCCCAGGCUUAACCUGGGAACUGCGUCUGAUACUGGAUGGCUUGAAUUCGGGAGAGGGAUGCAGAAUUCCAGGUGUAGCGGUGAAAUGCGUAGAUAUCUGGAGGAAUACCGGUGGCGAAGGCGGCAUCCUGGACCGACAUUGACGCUGAGGAGCGAAAGCUAGGGGAGCAAACGGG